ACCGUGGUUCACUGCCCUGUGGGAAAAAACAAAAAAUAUGUGUAACUUGGAACCCUAGCGCCAUAUAUAUUAAUAUAUAUCCUUUGACCACUUUCUCUCCGUCUCUAACUCGGAACCCUAACGCCAUCUAUCAUCUUUUCCAUUCCUAACCAGAGUAUAUAUAUAUACGCCUCCUUCACUCCUCUGCAAAACUUCAGGCGCCUCUUUCUCUGUCAGUGGCGAUUUGUUUCAGAAAAGCAGAGGAGAUAAUUAUAACAAGCAGGGCCUAAUUGACUGCCGAUUUCAUCUGUGUUGUUUGAGAUUCAAGCAAUUACUUGACCUGAAGAACUAAUUGGCAUAUAUGUUAUCAUGAAGUGCAGUCGGCUGCCAAAUAUGAAUAGAUCCAGAAGGAAUCGAGGCAAAGCCAUGAAGAUGAAGAUGAAGAUGAAGAUGGCGGCAGAAAGUAAAAGAAGAAAUCAGGAGCCAUGCGAAGCCAUGCCUAGAGCGCCAUACCUUACCCAACAUCUUAUUGUUGAAAUACUCUCAAAACUGCCGGUGAAGGCUCUGUUACGAUUCAAGUGCGUGUCAAAGCGAUGGCGCUCUCUGAUCUCUGAUCCCCACUUCAUCAAAGCCCACCUCAAUCAAUCACUCACCACGAAUUCCAAUAUCCAAACACAGCGGAUACUGGUAGCCACUCCCUUCUGCCCUCUUCGUGUCUAUACGGUAAGUAUCGGGGGGUCAUCUGAUAAUGACGACGACAUUGAUGUUGCAGUAUCAAAGAUUGAUUUUUUAUUUAAGAACAUUAAUAAUCCUAGUACUCAUCAUGCGUGGGAAAUCAUUGGUUCCUGUCAUGGGUUGAUAUGCAUGGUGAACGAGUUUGGAUUGAUAUGUGUAUUCAAUCCGUCGACGAGGGAGUCCAAGCUGAUACGGGAUUGCGGGGAUCAUCCCCGCGGUGGCGUAGUUGGAUUUGCGUAUGACCAUUGUUCUGAUGAUUACAAAUUGCUGAAAAUAAGCCGCUGCAAUGGCGUGUAUGUCUAUUCCCUCAGAAAUUGUUCUUGUUGGAGAAAAAUACAUGACUUUACUAAGUAUAGUGUUAUAUCGAAGGGGACGCAGCUGAAUGGAGCCAUUCAUUGGGUUUGUUUGGAGGGUUCAGACGACAAGCCAUCGGAGAUUGCUGUUUUUCGUUUGGAGGAUGAGAAACUUUGGACCAUUCCUUUGCCUGCUGCGGCUUCCAUCACCAGUUUUAAUGAUGCAGUGGAACUAGGGGUGUUUGAUGGAUGCCUUUGUAUAGUAGCAUGUGGUGCUGAUAAUGCAUUCUGCUGGGUUAUGAGGGAAUAUGGGGUGAACCAGUCUUGGGCUAAACUCGACAUUAAACUUCCAUAUUAUUUCCAUAUCUUACAGCCAUUGGCUACCUUGAGGAGGAGGAAUGAUGAAGAAGAAGAUAUGUGUUUGAUAGACUUCGAGAAGUUUGUUUUAUACAACACAAGAGAGGGAACUUCUAGGGACCUUCUCAUAGCUGACGGUGCCCCGUUUGUUAAUGCUAAUGCAAUCAGCUAUGUAGAUACUCUCCUAUCACCGCUCAUGAACCAUGUCAUCAUAACAUAGCAACUAUUUAUCUGUCUGUCCCGCAGGGCUGAAACUGAGCGACCAUCUACAAGUUCACCUGCUACAACCGAGUGGAUCAGGUGAUGAUAGGAAUUCAACAAAUGAAAGAAUGGAAGGUGAUGGUAGUAAUGAGCAGAUGGGGUGACAACCAAGUGGAGGUCUGAUACGAAAGGGCGUGGAAGAGCAAAAAAUGAAGCCUUACACAAAAUUAAGGAAAAGAAUUGUCCAGUUCGAGUAGAGUUUGGAGAGGGUUGUAUUAAAUCUGUUGGUUUAAAUAACAAAUUAUGGACGGCUCAGAUUGGCAUUAAUACACGAGAUACCGAAGCCCUUCUAAAGUACAAAACGUGGAGGUAUGUUCCAAGAUUUUGAGAAAGAGGUCUGCUGUGACCAUUUGAAGGAGAUGUUGGAGUGGAUGCAUAUGCGAAUGACACUGAUUUUAAGGGAGUAAAUAAUGGAAUUUCCAGCGCAUUGAGGAAAUAUAGAUAUAAAUUGAAGAGUCAUUUCGAGUGGGAAAUUUCGAGUAGCAUCUUCCCAUUGAGAAUGCACGCUGCCAUCCUUACAAUGUUAUUGGUCAUGCUGUUUGGCAAAAGUUGUGUGAUAGGUGGAUGUCACUAGAAUUUCAGGAAAUAAGUGAACAAAACAAAGAAAAUUGUUCCAAGAAUGAGGUUUCACAUUAUUCUGGAUCGAUGUCCUUCGUCAGACGUUACGAUACUUGUGUCAAACUCAAAGAAAGGUAGAGCCAAGAAGAUGAGGACGGUGAAAGGGAUGAGGAUAUGCUAUUCGCUUAUACAAGGGCACACAUUUUAAGGAACAAGGUGGAUGGGCAUAAGGGAUAGCUAAGAGGAAUUUUGAUGCAAUGAAAGAAAAGGCUGCACAAAAUUCUCAAAAUUUUGAUGGUACGAGUCCAAUCAUAAAUGAUGUUGAGAUAGUGCAAAACCAACUAGGCAUAAGGAAGGGAUAUUGCCGUGGAUCCGCACAUGGUUUCAUGGCUCCAAGGCGUCAACGUGCCCCUUCAUCAUGUGAUGAGGCUUCUACGAAAAGGGCCAAAAUUGUUGAUGAUAGAAAUGUACAAUUGGCGGAAAAGAUGGAUAAAUUUGAGAAGGUACUUGAACAGUACCAACAACAACCGCCACCAUGGUUCCUCCAAUAUCAACAGCAGUUGCCACCAUGGUUCCACCAACAAUAGUCUCCAUCAGAUUCCCACCAGCAGCAGCAACCGCCAACAAGGUGGCAAUAUCAGCAGUUGCCACCAACAUAGUGGCAAUAUCAACACCACCAGCAAGCACCACCACAACCACCAACAGAAUGACUAAUGUGAUAAAGAGAUAAAUUUUUUGGUAUACAAAUUUUGGAGCUUUAUGAUGAUCAACUAGUUGAUUUCUAAACUCUAUUUUUUUUGGGUUGUAUUUUGAUGACUUUGUCAUAUAUACUCUUAUUCAUUCAUGUGUGGUUUAAACAACCAUACCCACCUAUAGUCACUACUGCCCUAUGGUCACUACUGUUUCGGGGUUCAAUUAUACAAUUUCAUUUUAUCAAAUUUUGCUUUAUUUGGUCUU